rnacentral:lncRNA from 1 species
GAGAAGGAAAAGAUCCUAGGCCCAGGUUUAAGUGGGAUAUACUGCAUUAAAGAGCCAUAGAGCUGAGCAAGCUAUGUAAAUGAACAUAUCUGAUUAGGCAAUGUUAGCAAAUCUGGAAAAUAGAGGGAUAUGAAAAAGCUAGAGUUUACAUAUUUCUCUAAAGUGAACAGUUGCUGCUCAAUUCUCUUGCCUACUUCAGCCAUAUGGGAUUGUAAGCCCAAACCUACCAGAACCUACUAUUUCUCAACAGAAUUCUUGAAUCCAAAUUUCCAUAUAAAAAUCAACCCAGAUUUCCAAUGAUGUCAACUUUUUAAAAUAUUUUAAAGGAUAGGUAUCCACUUGUUUGCUAUCUCUGAUUUAAGACGUCUCACAGAAAAUUAAGAACACUGCAAAUAUUUUUAAGUAGUCAAGAAAAAUAAAAGGUAAGAGGAUGGUUAUUAAAUGUGAUUCCUUGACAGAAUGACACACACAUUAUAUAUCAUUUUGUGGGAUAGUUACAACAGUGGUAAAAAGUAUUCGUGUUUAAUUGAGGAAACACACACACACACACACACACACACACACACACACACACACACACACACACACACACAUAUAAUCAGUCAACAUAGAAAAAUUGAAAACAGGGGCCAGACUAAAAUCCUGGUGAGGAAGUAAUGGUAGUUCUAGAUACUUCUAGCUAGUGUGACCUUGUGUGUAAAACAAUAAGGACAGAGCUGAGAUAAAAUGGAGUAAGAAUGAAAGAUUUGCUUAUUUUUCUAUCUACUUAUAUUGAAUUACUGGGAAUCAAGAUCAGGGCAGUGUAAAUACCAGGCAAGGGCUCACCACUUAGCUAUAUCUGCAGCUUUAUGAAUGUCAUUUUUAAAAGUAUUUUUCCAAUUUUUUAUUAGGUAUUUUAUUCAUUUACAUUUCAAAUGCUAUCCCGAAAGUCCCCUAUACACUCCCCCCACCUGCUACCAUACCUACCCACUCCCACUUCUUGGCCCUGGUUUUCCCCUGUACUGAGGCAUAUAAAGUUUUCAAGACCAAGGGGCCUCUCUAAAGAUUUAUUUUUACUAUUUAUAUGAAUACACUGUAGUUGUUUCCAGACACACCAGAAGAGGGCAUCAGAUCCCUUUACAGAUGAUUGUGAGCCACCAUGUGGUUGCUGAGAAUUGAACUCAGGACCUCUGGAAGAGCAGUCAGUGCUCUUAGCUGCUUAUGAGUGUCUUAGAGAGGAAUUCUUACUUUUUUAGAUCUUCUUGUCAUGUGAAAUGAGGAAGACUUCGCAGAUAGCCAUUUUCCUAUUUUCUCUCAUCACCUUUGACUUAUUUCUACUCAGAUACAAUUUUCCAUCUAUGGAAUGAUUAAAAAACUAUUGAACCCUCCUUAGUGUCAGAAUUAUCCCACCCAUGCUUUCAAGACAAACAGAAUGAUUUCUCAGAGUGAUUUGAUUCUGUAAACAACAUUCAAAUAUCCCUGCUCCUGAGAACUAGGAUCUUGACUUGAGUUAGCCUCAUGCCAGCAAUGAGUGAUGGGAAUAAGUAUAGAUUAAAUAGUCCGAAAACACAAAACAAAUUCUUAGUCCUACAGUUUUUAGAAGUUUGAUUUCCACAAGCCCAAUCUUAAACCCUCUUACUUGUGAAUGGGAAUAUUUUGCAUCUACUUGGAAAGAUAAAUUUAUGGAUUCAAUAAGGUCAUGUAUUGAAGGGUUUCAAUGCAUCCUUCAUAGAAGAGACAAAGUGCUAAAUUUUCUAGACCUCAUCACGUCUUAUCUCUCCAUAUCUGAUAUUUACUUCUUUAGUUCCACCACUUAAAGUCUAUAGCCCAGAUGUCACUGUUAACCUUUACUUUAUCUCAUUAGUUGUUGCUCAGAUUUUUUUUUAAUGCUUAACAUAGGUCUGAGAUUGUAUGAGGCACAGGGGUUACAGCAAUGGAAGUAAUAAUUGGUGGGGAUGUUAAGAGUCUAGUGAGAAAUACAAAUGUUAAAGUCUUGUCUUCUGCCCCCAAAUCAAAGCAUAUCUAGUAUUGCACAGUGCAUUUCUAAGCCUAGUGGAUUAAAAAGUGCUGAAAUGUCAUGAGGUCAAAGAAAAGAGCAAAGCUAAUGAAAUGAUUCAGAUCAGUGGCACAGAGACUGAGAUGAGAGAGUGUUGGGUCAAGGAAAACUAUGGGUGGUGUCAAGAACAAACAGCAGAGAAUUAAGGAAGUGCAUCAUUCAUAACCUUUUAGGAAUUGUCAAAAAAGUCUUUAUUUAGU